GCCCGCCCCCCGUCCUGAUUGGACGGCGCUACGGGACCAUGCGUCCUGAUUGGUUCGUCUUCCGGACCCCGCCCCCUCAGAGACCGGGCCUGCGGUUGCCCACCCACAGUGCCUCCGCGCCUCCGCACCGCCCCUGCCCCCCCUGAUUGGACAAUCCUCCCAGACCCUGCCCCUUGCGUCCUGAGUGACAGGUCAUUCGGACACACGUGUCUGGCCAGCGUGGGCUUAGAGCUGAGACCGCUCCCUGCGGUUGGACCUCCGGCGCCUGCAGCUCGGCCACCCAUCCUGCCUGCGUCCUCCUCCUGGACCGUGAGAUCCCGACUCAGUUUCCCUGCGGAGCGCCCCUUGUCGGGAGCUUGGACAGGAGGGGACAGACGGGAGGGGCUGUAGGAGGAAGUGUUCCAGGAGGAGGUGGAAUUGCAAUUGACAAAAGUCAAAAGUUCACGGUGUUCUGAAAAUUGAAACAGGGGACGUGCGCAGUCCCUGCUUCCUGAAUGUCCUUCCGACUGUAUUUUGAGUGACUCUUUUAGGGCUAUCUUCACUGAGUCGUCUUUCACACUCUGCAAGGAACUGUUUUUCAGAUCUCUAGCGCAUUUUGUAAAAUUAAAGGCUACGAUAUCCUGAAGGCAAUUGAAUUCCUAUUUUAACUGAUUUAAAAGUAAUAAAAGCUGAAAAAAAUGAAAUGAAAUAAAAGCAUUAAAAGCUGAAAUAAAUUUAUGUUGGACCUGAAACACUAAAUACAUCAGCAGCAUGUAAUACGACUGCUCAUUUCAAAAAUACCCGCCCAGCGUUGGGUAGAGAAGUGUAAACUCCAGCAUCAUCGACGCUGUUACUUACAAACAUAAUUAUAAAAAUUAAUUUUCUCUGUUUUGCAAAAAGGUAUUAUUCACUUUCACAAAAAUGAGUCUUCAGGGUGUUAAGAAAUAAAAUUCAUCUCAGCACA